rnacentral:rRNA from 1 species
UGGUGAACCAGCGGAGGGAUAUUA